AUCUACAAAAGUGCAGAGGGGAGACUCUUCUCAUCACAACUAGCAAUUGAUAGGAGAGGAAAACAACAACCAGAUUUAUGGUGGGAGAAUUAUGGUGCCGGCACGCCUAAUCUUCAAAAGAUAGCUAUCCGUGUUUUGUCUCAGCCAUGCAGUGCUUCUGGGUGUGAACGAAAUUGGAGUGUCUUUGAGAGCAUUCACACAAAGAAGAGAAAUAGAUUGUCACAAAAGCGGCUCAAUGAUCUAGUAUUUGUUCGGUACAACCUUCGCCUUUGAGUUAGACAGGUGGAGGGUGUUUCACAUGAGGCCAUUGACUUGGAUGAAAUUGAUCCAUAUGGUGAUUGGACCAUGAAUGAACAAAAUGAUGGUGAUGAUGUCCUCCUUACCGAAGAAGAAAUUGCAGAAAUAGAGAGAGGAGCAGCACAAGAUGCAGAAGGAGCAAGAUUGGAUGAAAUGGAGGAUGAAGAUGAGGACAAAGAUGAGGAUGAUGAUGAGGACUUUGACUUUGAAGAAGAAUCAUUUCACCAUUUAGAUACCACAACACCCACUGCUACUACUUCUAGCUCAAGGCCUGAAAAAUUGAGCUAUAUUAGGAAAAAUACAAAGAGGAAGAUGUAGUCUUCUCUUUGGUUUGUUCAUUCACAUUGUUGUUUUUCACAUUUGGAGUUGGACUUGGACAUAUCAUUAUAUGUAAUUUUGUGAACAUUUAUAUACUUAUGCUGCCAUUAUACA